GAUCCACCCGCCUCAGUCUCCCAAAGUGCUGGCAUUACAGGCGUGAGCCACCAUGCCUGACUGUGAUGCCAUUUAUACAAAGUACAAAAACAGGCAGCAAAAAUCAGUAUAGCGGCCAGGCGCAGUGGCUCGCCACUAUAAUCCCAGCAUUUUGGGAGGCCGAGGCAGGAGGAUCACUUAAGCCUAGGAGUCCAAGACCAGCCUGGGUGACAUAGUGAGACCCCAUCUCUACCAA
rnacentral:lncRNA from 1 species